rnacentral:tRNA from 1 species
CAAAUUAAAGCUUAAUAUAAGUAUUUUAUUUACAUUAAAAAGAUAAUUGUUAAAUUCAAUUUAAUUUGA